rnacentral:lncRNA from 1 species
CUGAAUUUGACUCUAUGUCUGUUUUCUUUAGAUGGCCCCUGUUCCUGAGUAAUACCCCAUAGGAGCCCCACACUACUGAUGUAUUGCAUUAAUAUAUCAUCAGUAGCAGUUGUCAUUCCAAUGAUGUAUUAGUGUAAUACAUGAGAACGAGGCUCACUGAUGAUGUAUUUAGGCCUUACAAUAUGGCAUUGUCCAGGGAAGCAAGGGUCCAAUAAGAGAUUCAUUACAAUUACAGUAUGAAGUCAGCUAAUGCACUGCAGGUUGGGAGAUGCAUUUCUCGUACCAGGUCCCUCUGAAAAACUAGACAGUCAAUGUCUUUCUUGGACAAACAAGAAAGGAGCCUUCACUGUGUUAUGGAAGCAGCCAAGCCCUAGGGCACGGCGAAUCAUGAGUAAGCCAGGUUCUUGCUAUAUGUGGACCCAUCAUGUUCUCCUGUGGGACACAUCUUAA